rnacentral:lncRNA from 9 species
AGCCACGAGCAGGACCAGCUCUUGGUAGAGAGGUCUGGGGAGACCAGGGCACAAAAAGUUAUGCCUCAAGGCUCUGGGGACCCGGGAGCCCUGUCUUGGGGAAGAUGCCACCCUCUCAGCCUCUGGCAGCCCAAAGACUGGGCCUCUGGGAACCUCAGGAUUCACUCCUUGGCCUUGACACUGGCUUCCCCAUAAGGGCCAUAAUAAGGGAGGCAUGGGGGCAUUCAGGCAGCCUCAGGACCUUUGGCAAGUUCUAGAGCGGGAGCAGCUAUGACAGAGGGCUAGUGGUGGCUGCACCUGACAGGCUGGUCUGGGAGCGACACAAAUUCCCUUGGAGGGAUUCACAGGGACCCUUUUAGGUGGGGCGGUAGGGUGAGUUUUCAGGGGCUUUGGCUGAGGACCUGACAGGGCAGGAAAGGGCAAGAAGAGAAACUUUGGGGUUUGGGCCAAAAAGAUAUGUUAUUCUGAUCUGGGAGCUGACAAGGCCUGGCGACCUCUGGGCCCAGUGACCGAAGGGGAGCUUAUAAAAAACACAGGAUCACAUAUGCCUGAGGGAACAGUCCAGAACCUGGUCCCAGGUAAGGUCCUCAAAUCUUUGUUUUAUUUCAGCCACAAAGAAGUGUAGGUCCCUUGAUUCAUCCGGAAGAGGAAUUCUUCCAGAAGGAGAAUAUUCAUCUAGGAUGGGGCAGAAUUGGGAGAUAAGAGGUAAGAGACCUUUUCCUCAAAAAACUGGAGACCCAGCAGAAGGCACAGCUCCCUUCCUCCGGGGUCUUGGGUAAGUCAUUUAACCUCUCCGGGCCUCAGUUCGCUCAUCUAUGAAAUGAGGGCGUGUGUUUAGCUUCCCUCUGAGGCUCCUCCAACUCUGUCAUUGACCGGGCCUCCGGGCAGCACCCUGUCCCCAUCAUCUGUAGGGAAACAGAGGCUCCAGGGGAGGGAGCCCACCGGGCCUGUGCGUCUGGCCAGGCUUUUCUGGCUGGAACUUUCUCUCCAGGUGCUGUGGGCUUUGUCAGCAGCCUGGGAGACGGGGGACAUGGAGGAUCACAGCGGCAGAUCUUAAAUCAAAGCCCGGGCCAUCCAUCUUCCAGAACAGACGGAAAUAACUAGGAAGCCCUCCCUGAAUGACCCUCCGAGGCGCCUCUGACUCCCAAGGCUGCCAAUGUCGGACUCAGUCACAUUGGUGGCAACUGCCUUUUGCUGCUUCAUUGGAUCCAAAUUCCCUGAGCAAAGAUCUGUUUUCUCCCUCCCACCUCCCCCUCUAGCAUUUGCCAGAGAGCAGAGCACACAGUAGGUGCUCACAAAACAUGCUUGUUGAUUGCCCGGGAGAUUCCCAGGUGUG